AAUUCAGUCUGUCAGAAUGU
rnacentral:guide_RNA from 1 species